CCCCAUGCGUCUUUGGGACCUGUCAACUGUGGCCGCCUCCCUUCUUAGCCGUGGAAGAGCAUUUUUAUUUAUUUAUAGCAAAGCUGUCACCAUUUAAUUGGUAUCAGAUUCUGACUUGCACGAGUAACAUUC